GUCUGGGUGGCUCAGUCAGUUGAGCGUCUGACUUUAGCUCAGGUCAUGAUAUUACAGUUCGUGGGUUCGAGCCCCGUGCAGGGCU
rnacentral:tRNA from 1 species